rnacentral:tmRNA from 1 species
GGGGGCGCCUUGGUUUCGACGGGGCGCUGACCUGGACAGGAGCAUGCGGCAGGGGUUACGGGCUGCCUUAAUAACCGUGACAGGUACAUAAAUGCCAAAGCGAAAAGCAACGUGAUCGCUUUCCGUCCGCGCACCAGCGCUGGCGCCUACGCGAUGGCUGCCUAACUAGAUCCUUCCCCUUGGUUGGGGAACUUUAGUUAACAGCUCCGGCUCUUACUUUCUACCGUGUGGCGUGGUAGUGAGUUGCCGGCCAAAUCUCUGCCACUCUAGGGCCUAGCGCGUGCAGCGUGUAACCCGAAAUUUAUCUGCACACCUUUAAGUAAGGGGGCAACCGGCCUAGCUUAAAGUAUCCUCUGGUUGCUGAGCAUGGAGACCCUUACGGGAACGCGUUUCGGACGUGGGUUCGAGUCCCACCGCCUCCACCA